UAUUUUUAAUUUUAGAUCUUUUUAAGUUGGCCUUCCUGCUUGAUGAACACCUUAUAUACGAUUGGUAUUUGCAAUUCAUUUCGAAUAACGCGCGUAAUGAAAUCUUUUAAUGUCAUCUUUCCUUAUUCUUUUAAGCUGUUGGUAGCGAAGCUGGUCAAAUAAAUCCAUAAAAAAAGAGUUCAGAAAUCAAGUAGCAAAGGUGAUGAUCCAUAUCCAAGGAGGAAAAUCCAGACUAGUAAGAACUUAUUAUAUGCUUUUUUAAUCAAGGUUCUUUGAAAGAGUUUGAAUUCUUGUCAGUAACUCAGGUACAUAAUAAUGAUAUUAUUAAUGAAUAUAUUUAGAUAAUAAAACGCUAAAUAACACAUAAUUUUAAAUAAUAGGAAGAUUCAUUAAUUUUAGCUGUAAAAAAUGAGUUGGAUUAAAGUUGCCCAACAUUGUUGAAUUGCUAUGGUAUUAUCGCAUUGUUAUUUAUCAGUACAAAAGAUUAUUUAAUAUUUCAAACCAACACAAGCAUGAUUCUUAAUUU